rnacentral:rRNA from 1 species
UACGUAGGCAGCAAGCGUUGUUCGGAGUUACUGGGCGUAAAGAGUGCGUAGGUGGUGCCCUAAGUCUGUUGUGAAAUCUCCCGGCUUAACUGGGAGGGUGCGGUGGAAACUGGGGUGCUUGAGUGUGGGAGAGGUAAGCGGAAUUCCUGGUGUAGCGGUGAAAUGCGUAGAUAUCUGGAGGAACACCGGUGGCGAAGGCGGCAUCCUGGACCGAGAUUGACGCUGAGGCGCGAAAGCCAGGGGGAGCAAACGGGG